UUGAUGUCAUUCGAACUACGAUCUGGCGGGUCUUACUAUCUGUAAAGAAGAGUCUGCCGAUGUUUUUAAGACACAAGAAAAAGGAGCUUGACCAGGUGCAGAAGGCAACACUCACCAUCAUUGCUGUUGAGGAGGAAGAGGGAACUUUUUACCUUUUAACCCACUGGAUAUUUUGAUUGUCUUUGAAGAUGAGGUGAUGUCUGCCAAGUCAGUGCACUGCCUUUGGAGUACACUUAGUUCGUACAGAAAGUACUGUUGAAUUACCUUUCUUACAUAAAAAUUAUCUACUCUGUUUCUGGUGGUGUUAGAACAUAGUUAUUUUAUAUUAUUAAUUUAAUUUGACAAACUUUUACAAUUUUAAAAUUAAAAUGUUUAAACAAACAUAUUUCCUUGUUUGUGCGGUCUUAUACUUGGAGGGAAAAAAAUCUAAGAUUGUUUUAAAGUUAUAUUUUUGACUUGACAGCCCAAUUAUUUUAUGCUUGAACAUUUUGUGAAUUAACUGUUGUUUUUCAAUAAAUACUUAAGA